UUGACCCUGGCCUCGGAGCAUCCCCCCGCAAGGAGGGAACCAUCUAGUUAGCAGAGACAUCUGGCCAGAGGAAGGAGAGGUAAGCGGUGACGGGGGGGGGGGGCAUUUAAGAUUCUUGUCUCAGGGCCCACUCCAACCUAGUUACGCCCCUGAUCAGCAGGGAGAAUGCCCAAGUAUUUGUAAUGUUCUUUCUCUUCCAGGUUCUUGAUGUCGCUUCCAUUGGGUAGUUCUAUUCCUUCUGUUUUUCUUAUUUUUCCUCUUUUCAUUAUCAAUGCAGCACACUUGUCUAGUCCAAACUCCAUUGCUAUAUCGCUACUGAAUAUACGGACAGUGUUUAGCAGUGAUUCGAUUUCUGACUGGGACUUUCCAUACAACUUCAGAUCGUCCAUAUACAGCACAUGAUUUAUUUUACUUGAUGUUUUAGAUGUUUGGUAUCCAAGGCCUGUUUUGUUUAGUAUUUGUGAAAGUGGGGUCAUGGCGAUUACAAACAACAGAGGGGAUAGUGAGUCCCCUUGGAAAAUGCCUCUUCUAAUGCUAACCUGUCCAAGUGUUUCGCCAUUGAUUGUUAACUGUGUACUCCACAUGCUCAUUGUUUUUUUAAAAAUAAAUAUCUGAAUGUUUUUGCUGACACCAGUUGCUUCUAAACAUUUUAGUAUCCAUGUGUGAGGCAAUGAAUCGAAGGCUUUCUUGUAGUCAAUCCAUGCAACACUUAGAUUGGUUUUUCUUCUCUUGCAGUUUUCUAAAAUCAUUUUGUCAAUCAGCAGCUGGUCUUUUGUGCCUCUGGUGUUCAGGCAAUUUCCUUUCUGUUCAACUGGAAGCUGUUUGUUAGUUAAUAAGUGUUGCAUCACUUCAUCUGCUAUUAUUCCAGUUAAUAAUUUGAACGUGGUUGGCGGGCAGGUUAUUGGUCUAUAAUUACUUGGAACCACACCUUUUGCUGGGUCUUUCAUUAUGAGAUUUCCCAGUUGUUAGCCAUUGUUCAAUAUCACCUCCUUGCAAAAUUUGAUUCAAAUGUUUUGAUAGUUGUUUAUGAAGGCUUGUUAGGUGUUUAAGCCAAAAGCCAUGCAGUUCAUCGUCGCCUGGAGCAGUCUAAUUUUUAAUUUUCUUUGUUCUUUCACUUAUUAAUUCUGGUGUUAUUAUUAGAUCUUGCAUUUGUUGGUUACAUUUUUUGACCUCUUUCAUCCAGCCUGCUUUUUUAUUAUAAUCUAUUGGAUUGUCCCAUAAUUUCCCCCAGAAUUGCACUGUUUCUUCUUGAUUUGGUGUUUCUACGUUUCUUGCAGUUUCUCCUUCUAGGCUUUGGUAGAAACGUCUCUGAUUCGACUGGAAUUGGAGAUUCUUCCUGUGUUGUGUAAUUCUGGCUUCGUAUCUGCUAAUCUUCUUUGACACUGCUGUUAUUUGCUGCUUUAUUAUUUCCAAGACUUCUUUAAUUUUCCUUGAAUCUAGGUGGUAUUUUUGGAUCAGAUACUGUUUGGUGUUUUCAUUCUUCAGCUUCUUGUCUUUCAUAUAUUUCAAUUUACUAGCAUCUGAUCUGAGUCUGGAGAUUUUAUUUUCUAAUCUAAUCUUCCAUUUAGGUGAUGUACUACUUUCUUUUUUUACAGGUCCACUGAUCUUAUAUCCGAGCUCUUGUGUUGUUAUUGUUGCUGCACUGUACAUUAGUUGGUUUGUUUCCUGCAAAUUCUUGGUUGUUAUUUCUGCAAGUGAGGCAUUGACAUCUUUUAAUGCCUCAGCAAGUUGUUUUUUGGCUACUGUUUUUAGAGCUGGAAGUCAAACCCUGGUGGUUGUUUGGUUCAUGUGCUCAGUUAUUUUUUGCUUUAGUUCUUGUUGCUUUUCUGUUAAACGGCAUUCGGGUUUUUGAGGUGAAGGCAAAGGGGAGGUUGCCUGGUUUUGAUUUUAAAACAGUUCAGCAACAGUGGCAUCCUCGAUUUCCAAAACCUCCUCCACCUGCGCCUGAGCAACUUCUUCAGUUGGUGGUAAUUCUUCUUCCAUAUCUUAAGCCUGUGUUGCUCUUUGCAGUUUUUCCAGCUCAACUCCUGUGAAUACUUUAUUUCUUAUUAUGAAUCUUCUCUGGUCUGCGAGCCUUUGUUCUGUUAUUUCUGUAUCUGGAUGCUUCUCUUUCCAAAUUUGGUACAUUCUUUUAAAAUAACCUCUUCUAGUUGCAGAUCAUUAUUUCCUUGUUGGCAUUUUUCAUAUAUUUUUUCCGGUUAAGCGUUUCUUCCAGUAACCUUGCAGUCUCCAGCCCUGGUUGCUCAACUGAAGAUCCUGAGUCCUGUUGCCCACUUGCCACCAGAUGUCCAGGGACUCCAGCACCUGGCGCGGUCCUUGUUGAUCCGGGCGACGACCAAUCUGGUAUAGAUUCAUUAAUGUUAUGUCUCACCAUAUUGUUGAUGGGAGAGGCACUCUUUGUCUGGCUCCUCUGGUGAGACCUGUCCAGUAUGGUUGGACAUCUGGCAUAGCUCUCACCUUCCUCAGAGCACGCAAGCCCCACAACCACGCCAAGGUAGUGCCUCACUGGGGGAUGAUGAUGAUGAUUACAUUUAUAUCCCGCUCUUCCUCCAAGGAGCCCAGAGCAGUGUACUACAUAUUUAAAUUUCUCUUUCACAACAGCCGUGUGAAGUAGGUUAGGCUGAGAGAGAAGUGACUGGCCCAGAGUCACCCAGCUAGUAUCAUGGCUGAAUGGGGAUUUGAACUCAGGUCUCCCGGUCCUAGUCCAGCACUCUAACCACUACACCACGUUGGCCAGUAAGGCCAUUGAAAAUGAGGCUCAAUAGCCAGCAUUGUAAAUACUGGUAUUACAAACAUACUCAGGAUGUUACACUAGCCCAUGGCUGCUCAACUUCAGCUCUCCUGUAGAUCUUGGCCUAAAGGUAUAGUGUGUCGUCAAGUCGAUUUCAACUCCUGGCGCCCACAGAGCCCUGUGGUUUUCUUUUGGUAGAAUACAGGAGGGGUUGAGUGCAACCCUGUUAAUUCUCUUGGAUCUCUCAGCAGCUUUUGAUACAAUUUACCAUGGUAUCCUUUUGGAUAGGCUGGUCGAGUUGGGUGUGCUGAGGGAUUACUGUUCAACCUUUUGGCACUUAUGCUUUGGGGUUCUGCAGGGUUCCAUUUGUUCCCCUGUGCUAUUUAACAUCUACUUGAAACCACUGGGAGAGGUCAUUUGGAGAUUUGGCCUGUGGUGUCAUCAGUAUGUGGAUGACACUCAGUUGUAUUUCUCCUUUUCAUCAGAUGCAGGUGAGGCAGUGACUGUCCUGAAUCAGUGUCUGGAUACAGUAAUUGAUUGGAUGAGGGUGAACAAGUUGAGACUCAGUCCAGACAAGACAGAAGUACUGCUGGUCGGUGGUUCCUCUGCCUGGAGUGAAGAUGUUGCUGAAUACACUUGGAAUACCUUAUGUUCUGGAAGAACAAAGACCAACAGAGAAUGAAAAGAAACAGGGAUGAUGGGGUUCUGCACACAAGCAAGCCAUGGGACACAUAUCUCUGACUUUGAUGCUAAGUCACCUCACGUCUCACAUUGCAGAGAUGGUCCACCAAUCUUGCUUCAGAUCUAUCCAGUUUUUGAAAAUGAAGACAAUUGACUUCCUCACAGUCUCAUAGGACUAGCACACUCUUUCUUCAGAGCUGUGUUGGACAACACAGGAGUCUCUAUGUUUUGCGUGGGUGUGACCUGUUAGUGCAGCAGCAUAGUUUAAUCUGUGAAUCAUCAGCUUAAAAUGUUAUCUUUUUCCUCUCCUCUGAGGAUGAGCAUUUAAGAAACUCUGCAGGUGAAAAUGCAUAAAGAGCAAUUAUCAUUAUAA